AGUGAACGCUGGCGGUAGGCCUAACACAUGCAAGUCGAACGGCAGCACAGUAAGAGCUUGCUCUUACGGGUGGCGAGUGGCGGACGGGUGAGGAAUACAUCGGAAUCUACUUUUUCGUGGGGGAUAACGUAGGGAAACUUACGCUAAUACCGCAUACGACCUACGGGUGAAAGCAGGGGAUCUUCGGACCUUGCGCGAUUGAAUGAGCCGAUGUCGGAUUAGCUAGUUGGCGGGGUAAAGGCCCACCAAGGCGACGAUCAGUAGCUGGUCUGAGAGGAUGAUCAGCCACACUGGAACUGAGACACGGUCCAGACUCCUACGGGAGGCAGCAGUGGGGAAUAUUGGACAAUGGGCGCAAGCCUGAUCCAGCCAUACCGCGUGUGUGAAGAAGGCCUUCGGGUUGUAAAGCCCUUUUGUUGGGAAAGAAAAGCAGCAGGUUAAUACCCCGCUGUUCUGACGGUACCCAAAGAAUAAGCACCGGCUAACUUCGUG
rnacentral:rRNA from 1 species